rnacentral:sRNA from 1 species
UGGAAGGAAUACUCGGCCUAGCUGCCAUGG